CUAAGACAUGCAAGUCGAGCGAGAAAGCCCUUCGGGGUGAGUAUAGCGGCGGACGGGUGAGUAACGCGUAGGAAUCUACCCAGUAGUGGGGGACAACUAGUGGAAACGCUAGCUAAUACCGCAUACGCCCUAAGGGGGAAAGCGGGGGAUCUUCGGACCUCGUGCUAUUGGAUGAGCCUGCGUAAGAUUAGCUUGUUGGUGAGGUAAUGGCUCACCAAGGCUACGAUCUUUAGCUGGUCUGAGAGGAUGAUCAGCCACACCGGGACUGAGACACGGCCCGGACUCCUACGGGAGGCAGCAGUCGGGAAUAUUGCGCAAUGGGGGAAACCCUGACGCAGCCAUGCCGCGUGUGUGAAGAAGGCCCUAGGGUUGUAAAGCACUUUCAAUUGGGAGGAAAAGCUAAUGGUUAAUAACCAUUAGCCCUGACGUUACCUUUAGAAGAAGCACCGGCUAACUCCGUGCCAGCAGCCGCGGUAAUACGGAGGGUGCAAGCGUUAAUCGGAAUUACUGGGUGUAAAGCGCGCGUAGGCGGUUUUUUAAGUCGGAUGUGAAAGCCCCGGGCUCAACCUGGGAACUGCAUCCGAUACUGGAUAACUAGAAUGCGGGAGAGGGAGGUAGAAUUCCAUGUGUAGCAGUGAAAUGCGUAGAUAUAUGGAGGAAUACCAGUGGCGAAGGCGGCCUCCUGGCUCGACAUUGACGCUGAGGUGCGAAAGCGUGGGGAGCAAACGGGAUUAGAUACCCCGGUAGUCCACGCCGUAAACGAUGUCUACUAGCUGUAGGGGUACUUGAGACCUUUGUAGCGCAGCUAACGCAAUAAGUAGACCGCCUGGGGAGUACGGCCGCAAGGUUA
rnacentral:rRNA from 1 species